AUCAACAGGUGCGCGAGCAAGGUAAUUCGGUGGAUUCAAAAAAUUAACGUUCGUCGGGCUUCAAUUCCGGACAGAACCUCUACGUGUUUUAUUUAUUAAUUCCUCCGAAAAGAAAAUGUUUCUCGCACAAGAAGACACAAAAACAACAAAAAGAAGGUUUUCAUUUCAACCCUAAUUCGGCACACCUGACUCAACUAAUUAGCAGCUCGGCGAGAUCUCUAGCUGUUGAACUCGGCGUUCUUUGUUCGUGUGGAAAUGGAAAAACCUCCAGGAUGGCAGCUAUAUCUCCAGGAACAGGGUUGGUUACCACUGUGAUAAGGGGGGGAUCCACUGAAGCAAAUGACCUUCAACGACCUCCGCAGCCACAGGAAGUUCUGCCAUUUUCCUGAGGAAAUUGAACUCUGGGAUUAAUCAUCACCGGCGUCCCCCCCCGACUCCCCCCUCACCUUGGGGCCCUCUGUAUGGCGAGAACCAGGAAGAUAUCCAAAGAUAUGGGAAUGGGCGAUGGGGUUGAUGGGGGUUUGGCCUAAAUUCAGAAACUGGCCAUAUCAAGUGAAAAGCUGGCUGCACUACAUUCGACCGCACCCCCUUUCUUUGUUGUGUUUUCACCUGUGAGGAUUCGGUUAUGUGCUGAAACACUUUCAUCUUCAUUGUUUGAUUUUUAUUGAACACAUUUUUUUUCAAUGCCUGACCCCUCAGGAAUUGCGCAGGUAUUGCUGUACCACCCUGCCCUCAGAAAUGUCUUUUCUCAGCACAACCAGGAAGCAAUUAGCACCUGGGCUAACACUCAUUACUGUGUGCGCCACUCUGCCUGUGGUACAGAGCUUCCCCUGUGAUGACAACUUUUAUCACUGACCGAGAAGGAUCCCAUCAUUCCUUCCUUGUGUGAAAAUAAUUGGUGAUUUUAGCCGUUACUUUUUGAUUUGAAAAAGAUUCCUUCUUUAUGCUAUCACAUAGCUGAAUGUGAUAACACAUUACUAAAUGUGUGGUGUAACACGAAAAUGAAUGUCUUCUGAAACUUGGUUCUUGCACAGUAAUAAAGUGAAAGCAUAUGGCAGUUUGGUUGGAUUUGGGCCCGUCCCAACGCAAUCACAGGUGUGCAUUUUUAAUGAGCUCAGAAGCGCUUACAAGGUCAGCCUGCACAUGAACAUUCUGGAAGCUUGACUGCAUUCAUCAGGAGGACAUUUGACAGUUGGCAAGCUGCAUUUCUUGCGAUUACUGGCUUCUUCCUCAAACAGUGGUCUAGCUUGAUUAAAUGUAUGAGAGAUGUGAGGAGUGUAUGAUGUGCAAACCUAGAUCCCAAACCCUUUUCACUUCUGUAUUUACUAUUCUUAUUUCUCUUGUCAUGGUUUAAUGAUGACUAAACGUCUACAUUGCUGUUAUAGUAUAUGUGCCGUCUUGACUGUAUGAUUCAUAUCAAUUAUAUUGUUGCCCAGCUUUUA